rnacentral:rRNA from 1 species
AAAGAAAGCGUAAUAGCUCACUGGUCGAGUCGGCCUGCGCGGAAGAUGUAACGGGGCUAAACCAUGCACCGAAGCUGCGGCAGCGACGCUGAUGCGUUGUUGGGUAGGGGAGCGUUCUGUAAGCCUGUGAAGGUGUGCUGUGAGGCAUGCUGGAGGUAUCAGAAGUGCGAAUGCUGACAUAAGUAACGAUAAAGCGGGUGAAAAGCCCGCUCGCCGGAAGACCAAGGGUUCCUGUCCAACGUUAAUCGGGGCAGGGUGAGUCGACCCCUAAGGCGAGGCCGAAAGGCGUAGUCGAUGGGAAACAGGUUAAUAUUCCUGUACUUGGUGUUACUGCGAAGGGGGGACGGAGAAGGCUAUGUUGGCCGGGCGACGGUUGUCCCGGUUUAAGCGUGUAGGCUGGUUUUCCAGGCAAAUCCGGAAAACUAAGGCUGAGGCGUGAUGACGAGGCACUACGGUGCUGAAGCAACAAAUGCCCUGCUUCCAGGAAAAGCCUCUAAGCAUCAGGUAACAUCAAAUCGUACCCCAAACCGACACAGGUGGUCAGGUAGAGA